GACGAACGCUAGCGGCGUGCUUAACACAUGCAAGUCGAACGGAAAGGCCCUGCUUUUGUGGGGUGCUCGAGUGGCGAACGGGUGAGUAACACGUGAGUAACCUGCCCUUGACUUUGGGAUAACUUCAGGAAACUGGGGCUAAUACCGGAUAGGAGCUCCUGCUGCAUGGUGGGGGUUGGAAAGUUUCGGCGGUUGGGGAUGGACUCGCGGCUUAUCAGCUUGUUGUUGGGGUAGUGGCUUACCAAGGCUUUGACGGGUAGCCGGCCUGAGAGGGUGACCGGCCACAUUGGGACUGAGAUACGGCCCAGACUCCUACGGGAGGCAGCAGUGGGGAAUAUUGCACAAUGGGCGGAAGCCUGAUGCAGCAACGCCGCGUGCGGGAUGACGGCCUUCGGGUUGUAAACCGCUUUCGCCUGUGACGAAGCGUGAGUGACGGUAAUGGGUAAAGAAGCACCGGCUAACUACGUG
rnacentral:rRNA from 1 species